UGGGGAAUUUUGGACAAUGGGGCAACCGUGAUCCAGCCAUCCCGCGUGUGCGAUGAAGGCCUUCGGGUUGUAAAGCACUUUUUGGCAGGGAAGAAACAGCCUGGGAUAAUACCCCGGGCGACUGACGGUACCUGCAGAAUAAGCACCGGCUAACUACGUGCCAGCAGCCGCGGUAAUACGUAGGGUGCAAGCGUUAAUCGGAAUUACUGGGCGUAAAGCGUGCGCAGGCGGUUUCGGAAAGAAAGGUGUGAAUCCCAGGGCUUAACCUUGGAACUGCACUUUUAACUACCGAGCUAGAGUACGUCAGAGGGGGGUAGAAUUCCACGUGUAGCAGUGAAAUGCGUAGAGAUGUGGAGGAAUACCGAUGGCGAAGGCAGCCCCUGGGAUGAUACUGACGCUCAUGCACGAAAGCGU
rnacentral:rRNA from 1 species